rnacentral:rRNA from 1 species
AUUGAACGCUGGCGGCAGGCUUAGCACAUGCAAGUCGAGCGGGGGAAGGUAGCUUGCUACCGGACCUAGCGGCGGACGGGUGAGUAAUGCUUAGGAAUCUGCCUAUUAGUGGGGGACAACAUCUCGAAAGGGAUGCUAAUACCGCAUACGUCCUACGGGAGAAAGCAGGGGAUCUUCGGACCUUGCGCUAAUAGAUGAGCCUAAGUCGGAUUAGCUAGUUGGUGGGGUAAAGGCCUACCAAGGCGACGAUCUGUAGCGGGUCUGAAAGGAUGAUCCGCCACACUGGGAUUGAGACACGGCCCAGACUCCUACGGGAGGCAGCGGUGGGGAAUAUUGGACAAUGGGGGGAACCCUGAUCCAGCCAUGCCGCGUGUGUGAAGAAGGCCUUAUGGUUGUAAAGCACUUUAAGCGAGGAGGAGGCUACUUUAGUUAAUACCUAGAGAUAGUGGACGUUACUCGCAGAAUAAGCACCGGCUAACUCUGUGCCAGCAGCCGCAGUAA